rnacentral:rRNA from 1 species
UACGGAGGGUGCAAGCGUUAAUCGGAAUUACUGGGCGUAAAGCGCACGCAGGCGGUCUGUCAAGUCGGAUGUGAAAUCCCCGGGCUCAACCUGGGAACUGCAUUCGAAACUGGCAGGCUAGAGUCUUGUAGAGGGGGGUAGAAUUCCAGGUGUAGCGGUGAAAUGCGUAGAGAUCUGGAGGAAUACCGGUGGCGAAGGCGGCCCCCUGGACAAAGACUGACGCUCAGGUGCGAAAGCGUGGGGAGCAAACAGGAUUAGAUACCCUGGUAGUCCACGCCGUAAACGAUGUCGAUUUGGAGGUUGUGCCCUUGAGGCGUGGCUUCCGGAGCUAACGCAUUAAGUAUUCCGCCUGGGGAGUACGGUCGCAAGAUUAAA